rfam:Triticum aestivum genome assembly, contig: Triticum_aestivum_CS42_TGACv1_scaffold_526534_6DL
AUAUUACUCUCUCCGUCCCAAAUUUUUUUGUCUUAGAUUUGUCUAGAUACGGAUGUAUCUAAUACUAAAAUGUGACUUGAUACAUUCGUAUUUAGUCUAAGACAAGAAUUUUGGGACGGAGGGAGUAUGUA